rnacentral:lncRNA from 1 species
AUUAUACGAUUAUAGAUAAUCGUAUGGUACAUGUAUGUGAAAUCGAGUACAUGUCGUAUGCUUGUUACGAACGAUUAAUGCAAUUUGAAUGUGAAAUUAUGCAAAUGUAUGCUCAUUACCAAGUAAAAUGAUGUAUGCUAACAAGAAUGUGGCGAUUCAAAAAGAGAUCUAGGGUUUCUCGUGGCGAUGCAAGAUCUGGCUUUCUCAAUGACACCAGAUCAACGAAUCUCUCUCUAUACGACACCCAAACGACUGAAGACUUUGACAUCUAAUCAGUGACGUAUGAGCAAGGUAUGGUUCCGGCAAACUGAAGACUUUGACAUCUAAUCUGAAUGGUAUUGGGUCCCCUAUGAAACCCCUUAUAAACGACGAUCACACAAAAUCGACGAUUUUAGGGUUCAGUUUUGGUAAUCUGAUGAGGAAAUUUAGCAUCAUGUUAUGGGUUGCCGGUAAUUCGUUGCAUUAGUUGUUACAAGUGAAGACCCCCAGAGAGACAUGAAGCCCUAGGUUGCUCGAUGUCAAGAUACAAUGAUAGGAUGCACUUUUGUUCGGGGCGUUUCAGGCAGGGAGAGAAAACGAGUUUGUAUUGGACUCGAAAUAAUAAUCAAUCCUUCCCUCUUGUUCCUUGAUGAACCGACAUCCGGCUUGGACUCUACGACUGCUUUGAAGUUCAUUGAACUAUUGCAAGACAUAGCUGAGACAGAGAAGACCGUGAUCACCACAAUUCACCAGCCAGCCAUCGAGCCGACUUUUCCACAAAUUUGAUAAUCUCAUCCUACUUGGCAAAUGGAGCUUGCUUUAUUUCGGGAAAGCAUCAGAAGCCAUGGUAUACUUUUCAUCAAUAGGAUGUUCUC